ACAGUCACACAUUAGAUACCCCCGUAGUCCCAGCCGUAAACUAUGCUCGCUAGGUGUCAGGCAUGGCGCGACCGUGUCUGGUGCCGCAGGGAAGCCGUGAAGCGAGCCACCUGGGAAGUACGGCCGCAAGGCUGAAACUUAAAGGAAUUGGCGGGGGAGCACAACAACGGGUGGAGCCUGCGGUUUAAUUGGACUCAACGCCGGACAACUCACCGAGAACGACAGCAAUAUGUAGGCCAGGCUGAAGACCUUGCCUGAAUCGCUG
rnacentral:rRNA from 1 species